rnacentral:rRNA from 1 species
CCUACGGGUGGCAGCAGUGGGGAAUAUUGGACAAUGGGGGGAACCCUGAUCCAGCCAUGCCGCGUGUGUGAAGAAGGCCCUCGGGUUGUAAAGCACUUUCAGUGAGGAAGAACACCUGGUGGUUAAUACCCAUCAGGAAAGACAUCACUCACAGAAGAAGCACCGGCUAACUCCGUGCCAGCAGCCGCGGUAAUACGGAGGGUGCGAGCGUUAAUCGGAAUUACUGGGCGUAAAGCGCGCGUAGGUGGCUUGAUAAGCCGGUUGUGAAAGCCCCGGGCUCAACCUGGGAACGGCAUCCGGAACUGUCAAGCUAGAGUGCAGGAGAGGAAGGUAGAAUUCCCGGUGUAGCGGUGAAAUGCGUAGAGAUCGGGAGGAAUACCAGUGGCGAAGGCGGCCUUCUGGACUGACACUGACACUGAGGUGCGAAAGCGUGGGUAGCAAACAGGAUUAGAUACCCGUGUAGUC